UACGUAGGGGGCGAGCGUUGUCCGGAGUUACUGGGCGUAAAGCGCACGUAGGCGGCUUUGUAAGUCAGAGGUGAAAGCCUGGAGCUCAACUCCAGAACUGCCUUUGAGACUGCAUCGCUUGAAUCCAGGAGAGGUGAGUGGAAUUCCGAGUGUAGAGGUGAAAUUCGUAGAUAUUCGGAAGAACACCAGUGGCGAAGGCGGCUCACUAGACUGGUAUUGACGCUGAGGUGCGAAAGCGUGGGGAGCAAACAGG
rnacentral:rRNA from 1 species